UGCACAAUCCCGUCAUAGCCAGAAAUGUUUCAGCUGCAUCAUUAUUUAUUUUUAUUCUUUUCCUGCAGCAUCUUGUUUGCCCUUGGUUGUAAGAGGAUUGAGCUGAUGUUAGCAUUGUUUUCAAUUGGUAUUUUUCUGAAGAAAAAGGCAUGAAUGGACACUGCAGUUUUGACUGAUCUGAUAAUAAGUAUAGGGGAAAGCACUUGGUGUGGUUGCAUUGCCCUGUUGUCCUGGGCUGCAGACGGUCACUGAAGCUGUGCUCACCCCCCCCAGGUGCUAACACUCAGCCUCUGCUGGGCAGAUGAAGCACAGCUGGGUAAGGAGCAGGUCCUGAUAGGCAUUGUUUGUUGGCCUGGGAGCUUGCCUUGCCUAUUUAGGGAACUGACACAAACCUGGGAGCUCAGAAACGUGGUGCUCUCUGCUGUAGCCGUUCAUGUUCUUCACAUUCAGCAGGUGUGAGCUGCCACCAGCAGCAGUUUUUCUCCUUGGAUUCCAGGCACCAUUCACAUCCCACUUUUUGGAAUAUGGCCAUCACUACAUUUAGCCACCAGUCCUGGAAGGAUGUGGUGCUGCCCUGCUGACAACCCACCAGAGAUGCCCUGAGGGCUGGGAUGCACGUUGCUGUCUGCCCUGAGGCUGUAAGCUUGUGAUAACACCACCGAGCUCGCAUCGAGGAGGGGAAGCCGAGCAACCUCAAUUUUGGAGCUGAGCAGCAGCGGGGAACCCAUCUUAAAGCUGCAUCACCUCACCGGCUUCAAAAGCGAAGGAGCUUCUUUUAUUGCAGUGAGCUGCUCUCCAGGAAUGAUUAAAGUCCCGUAAACGAGCACCUUCCUCAUGGCAGAGCCGUCUGCUGACAGGGUGCCAAGUACAACAAGCCCAAUCCAAAGCAUCACCACCUCCAUGGGGCUAAUUGUCAUUGCCUUGUCCCUUGAACAAGAAUUGUGGUAAGGGAAAGCAGAGCCUGGAGACACAUGCAUGUCCCUGUACAGAAAUAACCCCUGAAGGAGAACUGAAAAGCAAUUGAGGAGUCGGCCUAUGGGCUGCAGACAAAGCGCAGAGCAAAGGAGAUAACCAGCAGUGAGCGCUGGGAAAUAAUGCCUUAAAUUCCCUCUGAGCCCGUUCAUCACCGUGGCUUUGGUGAUCAUCUCAGCAACAAAUUCCCUUAUCAUCCGGCUGGAAUUUGAUGUUAAUGACCUGUCUGUUAUUUCAGAGGGAGAUGGACUGGAACCAGUGGGUAAUUGGUAGGAAAAAUCGCUGGGUGCAGCUAAGAGCUGAUGCUACUGGAGUCGUUACACCAUGAGAGAGGGAGAUUAGGGAGCUCUGCUUACCACAAGGGGUUUAUUCAUCCUGAAUAAAUGCAUUAGCUGACCAGAAUCGUCCUUCUAUGCCCUCAUUCCUGUCUGGUGGCAUCUCCCCACCACAGCUCACCCUGCUUUUCCCAACAGACAGCAGAGAAAGCCCAGCAGAAGCUGAUAGAAUCAUAGAACACCCAGAGCUGGAAGGGACCCAUAAGGAUCAUCGAGUCCAAUUCCUGCUGUUGAGAUGAUCACGAUUCAUCACUACUGGGUGAGGAACCUUCAAACAGAUUUGUUUGGAGCCUUGGUGUGGACUCACAAUGGCUGGGAAUAUUCUUGCUAUUCCUAGAAAAACAGAUUCCAGCUGGAGGGGAAGAAGAGCUCCAGCAUUAGAGAUGACCUAAACAGCACGCAUCCCAGAUGAGAUGGGAAGUGGAGAACUGCUAGAAACAUCUCUGGCCCUUUCAGCAGAACUGUUUUCCCUUUGCCUUCUUGAGGCUGAGCUGCAAACAUUACAUGGAUGAACCCACCAGCCUGCUGCUGUUUCUUUUUGCAUGUUCACAAGGUAGCUUCUGAAAUAAGUUUGAACACUGUUGCUCUUGCACUCACAUCAGGCUGCAGGGGAGUCCCUGCUCAUGCUGCCCUGAUCUCACUGCUCUUACUUCCCCUGCUGAUGCAUCAGUGUACGAUGUGGCUGGAAAUGAGGUGGUGCAGGGUGGUCUACUCUGUUUUGCAGCAGAAAUGGGUUGCUGGGCUCCUGAAGGCAUUCCCCAGGACUGCUAUGGUCCAGGAAAGAUGCUCUGCUUCAAGCUGGGGUUGUGCUGGUGGGAGCUGGGGAUUUCACGUCUUGCUCCGGUUGGAUAUUUCAACCAAUGGCACAAAUCAUGGAUGACCCCCUAAGAGGAAAUACAUGGCAGGAAAUACAUUGGCCAUAUGAGUUUGAGAGUCGUUUCAGUUUUGAACAGUGCACUGAUCAAGAUUUGGCUAAUGGGUAUGUUGGGACAUGCACAUAGAUAUGUUCUUCUUUUGAGUCCUCCUCUUUACCUUUCAGCCCCUGAAAUCAUCCAAGCUGCUAACACUCUGAGGAGGGUGACGCAGCAAAAAUAAUACUUUUAGCAAGAAGCAGAAAAAUGAGAUUUGCAUAUGUUUUUCUGGGAAAAAUAUCAAGCUGCCCUGCUUAGAAAAUGAAUGGGUUGGAAAUCAGCUUGUAAAACUUGAAGCCUGACUCAGGCACUGAUUUGUCACAGGGCUGUCACCUGCGGUCAUUGUUAGUGAGGAGCCCUCAGUGUUCUGUCCAAAGGGAAAGAUUGCUGUCUGUGUUAUUGAUGGAUUCGUGUCUGGGGAAGAGCAAAUCCCGGUCAAGCUGGAGGACUUUUACACACAUUCAGCAGCAGGUAAGCAGGGUUGUGGAAUACAGAACCAUCCCUGCUCAGUGCAGAGCAGCUCCCAAGGAGCACAGUGAUAAAUGAAUUGCAGAAAGCUGGGGGGUUCGGCUCGGCCAGGGGAAGUAAUGCUGGUAUCUGAUCUCUGCAAACCUGAUUUUCCGCUUACGUGCCUGAUGAUAAAUCAGCGGUAAAUGUGCUUACGUUGGCACAACAAGUCUUCCCCUGGAUGCAGCUCUAUAGGCACGCACUUCCUUGACCACAAGCGCCCAGAUUUGGUGCAGAAACCAUAAGCAUGGUGCUGGCAGUCAGCAUCCCAUCCCAACAACAGCACAGCCAUGGGAGGAGGACAGCAAGCCCUCCAGGAGAACCUCUCCAAACUGCAGAUAAGGUUUGAUUUUGAAACUGGGGCAAAAGUUGAAAUAGGAUUUAAUUUUAUCUCAAUUGAUUCAUCUGUCCCUAAUUAGUAAUAGCUUCCUAAUGCAUGAUGCAAGGAUACGAGGAGGUUUGUUUUUUUUUUAAAUGAAUGACUUUUGGCUAAGAUAAAAUAUUGCUGUUCUCAGAUUGUCUCUGAUAGUUCUUUUCAUACGCCAAUAGAGAUUUGUGCAGUCUUAGAUGAAAAAUACAUGAGAUCCUGCAGUCACACACGCCGAAGACUAAACUCUUAUAGAUUAUGGAUCCUGUCUUGUUCCCAAUUUAUUUUGUACAUCCCAUUUAGUGUCUGUAUUUGCUUUUACUGAGAGAGGAGCCUCGGUCUCCCAGAAUUGCAGUGUGUGAUGCUGUGCAGGGAUGGAGCAAAAACUGAUCCUUACACCCAGGGCAGUUUCUCACAGGAACAAUGUGAAAUUGCCCAUUUUUCUCUUUUCAGGAUGAAAGUUGUGCCUGCUUUACCUUACUUUCUCUUUCUGUCCUCUUCUCCAUUUCCUCUCUCCUUCCUGCCCAUGAGUCAAGGGGCUGAAAGUAGAGCUGAGGCCGAGUGGCAGGGAUGCAGGAGGUGGAGCAGUGCUUGUGGGCUGUGUUUGGGUUGAAUUGCAUGAUCCCAGGCAGCAGGAGGUGCAGGUUGCCCACAACCCAUUCCUGGAUAGCAUGGCCACAAGAUAAUCCCUCUCGCCUUGUAAUGCUCUUCCACAUCAUUUCUGUGCUCUGACUCGUACUUUGCUGUACCAUCCAACAUAUUCCAUCCCAAACCUCAGUCUUUACACCCUUGAAACCCUUCCAGGCUGCUAUCGUGUCCCUUUCCCCAACUCAUCUCGCCAAGCAAUACCC